GAAAAAAAAAAGCAGAAAUUAAGAUUCUGAGUGUAGGCGGAGGUACAGAACCUUUUCAAUUUCACAAGAUUCUAUGUGUAAAGAAGUAUCAAGCCUAAUGAUAUGAUCUUUGAUUCAUCUGGAGUUGAUCUUUAUGCAGACAGAGGAAUUGCUGAAGAUCACCUCUUCUAAGACCGAAAUGCCUUAAGAGAUAGGAUCCACAGAAUUGCCGAAACCUUAAGCAAGUGCUAUGCCAAUCUGUGUGGACUUGCAGCCGACUGAUGAGCCUACGUGCCAUGUUGAUGGAGACCCUUUAUGGUACUCACUGAGUCAACCCUACUAAAGUGGAUGACAACAAACUGAGAGAACCUCAGGAAAGGCCUCUGCAAAAAUUCAUCAGUUCAUCAGGAUUAUGGCAAAACAAACGCAAAACAAAAUCCAAAGGUCAGGCUACUUAUCCAAGGACACUUUAAAUGUAAGAUAGUAAAUAAAU